rnacentral:rRNA from 1 species
ACCUGGUUGAUCCUGCCAGUAGCAGACAGGUUGAAACAGUGAAAUGACUCAUUGAACAAUCUUUUACUUGGACAACUGUGGUAAUUCUAGAGCAAAUACAUGCCAACAAACACUGACCUCCGGGGAUACAUGCAUAUAUCAGACUAAGACCAAUUUGGGCUCACUGAGCCGCUUUGGGGACUCUAGAUAAGUUUGAGCAGCUCAGACGUCCCCAUGAUAGCGAUGAUAGAUUCGGAUGUCUGCCCUAUCAACCUUCAAUGGUGCUUUCUGUGCCUACCAUGGUGGCCAUGGGUAACAGGCAAUCAGUCUUCGAUUCAGGAAGGGGAGCUUGAGAAGUGACUACCACAUCCGAGGAAGGCAGCAGGUGCACAAAUUACCCCCUGCCAACUCAGGCAGGUAGUGAUGACAAAUAACAAUACAGGACUCUUCCGAGGCCCUCUAAUUAGAUGAGUACACUUUAAUCUUUUAAUGAGGAACCAUUGGCGGGAAAGUCGGGUGCUAGAAGUUGCAGUAAUUCCAGCUCCAAUGGAGUAUAUUAAAGCUGCUGCAGUUAAAAAGCUUGUAGUUAGAUCUUGGGAUCGAGCUGGUGGCCCUAGCCCCUGCCUCUUGCUUCCCCCUUCAUUCUCUUGACAGUGCCCUGGGGUUCCAAAGCAUUUACUUAGAAAACAUUACAUUGCUCAAAUCAGACCCAUCGCCUGAAUACUUCAGCUUCGAAUUAUGGUAUAGUACUCUGUUUCUAUUUUGUUUCUAUUUUGUUGAUUUUUGGAACAGUGGUCUUGAUUAAGAGGGACAUAUGGGUGCAUUCGCAUUGUGCCGCUAGAGGUGAAAUUCUAGAACCGUCGAAGUUUCAACCAUAAACAAUGCCGACUAGCGAUCCAGCAGCGUUAUUCCCAUGGCCCACGAAGCAGCAUCCGGGAAACCAAAGUCUUUGGGUUCCAGGGGGAGUAUGCACAGCUAAAACUUAAAUGGAUUGGGUGAAUGGCACCAACAGGAGUGGAGCAUGUGUCUUAAUUUGACUCAACACGGAAAACCUCACCCAGCCCGACACAGAAAGGAUUGACAGACUGAUAGCUCUUUUCUGAUUCUGUGGUUGGUGGUUCAUUGUGGUUCUUAUUUUGUGGAGUGAUUUGUCUGGCUAAUUCCAGACACUCCUCCAUGGUAAUUAGUUAUGUGGCCUGUAGCAGUCGCGGUUCAACCUCUUAGAGGGACAAGUGGUGUUCAGCCACAUGAGAUCAAGUAGUAACAGGUCUGUGAUGACCUUAGAUGUGCGGGCUAUAUGCACACUAAACUGAAUGGAUCAGAGUGUGCAUACCCUUUGCCCAAAGGUGUGAGUAAUUCACUGAACCCCGUUCAUAAUAGGGAGUGGGGAUUGCAAUUAUUUCCCAUGAACGAGGAAUUCCCAGUAAGUGCGGGUCAUAAGCUUGCAUUAAGUCCCUGCCCUUUGUACUCACCACCCAUCACUAAUUCCUACUGGAAUGUUUUAGUGAGGUCCUUGGAUUGGCCCCACUGGGGUCGGCAAUGUCCCUGGUGGAGCGCGAAGAACACGAUAAAAACUGACAAUCUAGAGUGAGUAAAAGUCAUAACAAGGUUUCUGUAGGUGAACCUGUGGAUG